UUCCAACACAUGGAGAAUAUCACCUGAUCAUAAAGCUGAGCUAAGAAGCAGGGGUCACUCAGAUAGGAGGUUUAAGGUAAUUAUUUAAUCCCCAUGAUAACCCUAGAUACUAUUUUCAUUUCCUUUUACAGAUGGACAACAGGAUUAGAAAGUUAACUUGUCCAAGCUCAGACUGCCAGUCACGGGAAGAGCAGAAAUUAAAAAUCUAUGAAGUCCAACUAAAUUUAAGUCAAAUGACUACUGCUGAUCACCUUUGCCUUUCUGUCUAUACUGCUUGAUACCUUCUGAUUCUAUUUAGAUUGGCUAUCCUGAGAGAUAUCAUUGUUAACCAAACAACUCUCUCUAGCCAUAACUAAGCUGUCAUUUUGCAAAUGACCUUGAGAAAUGGAAGCAGAGAGGAUUACUUGAUUCACCUGCAACUCUAUGCCAAGCCACAACAGCUGAAUGAUUCAACUGGAAAGGGAGAGAUGGUUUAAAGUCAUGAUUAAUGCUACCAUGUCCCUGGCUGCCUUACUUCCUCAGCUCAUCACUGGCCUCAAAGAUUAACUUCUUUUAAUUAGUUCAGGAAUUUAUUGAAGAGUAACUGAAGAGAACAUUUGGUAAUGGCAUUCAAGGUAGAACAAGAAAUGGGAACUUUGUUUCAGAGUCAGCUUAUCCCUGGCUCCAUGUGGGUAACACAGAGGUGUCCUGAGGACACAAGUUCUUUCUUCAGACUUCCAGCUCCAUGGAUCCCAUUGCUCACUUAUGUAGUGCCCACCAUUGUCCUUAUUUCGGUUCCAUGACCUGACCAUACCAUGUUCAUUCUACUGUGAUGCUUCCAUGCAUACUGGAUUCACAUCUCUACUG
rnacentral:lncRNA from 1 species